rnacentral:lncRNA from 1 species
CCUGCCUUUGCUUCUCCUUUGUCUUCUGCCAUGAGUAUGAGGCCUCCCCAGCCAUGUGGAACUCAAAGACUUGACUGAAGUCACGGGUCUCAUCAUUCCUUUCCUAAGCUUUCUUCAAACAGCAUGAUGCGUGGACGAGAACACAUGUGCUCUGUAGAAGGUGGGGCCACAAAGCCCUGCCGACUGACCUUUCCUGCUUUCUGCCUCUAAGGUGCAACCCUGAAAGCACCUGCUGGAACCUCUGGGGCUCAGGGAGUGCAGCCUGGAAGCAGCAGGAUAUUCCCCAGGGCUGCAGUCCACCUCGGAAGCUGCUCACCACAGGUGUCUGCUUACACUUCGAUUCAGAUCACAUAAAAUAAAAUGCAGCUCUUAGACUUCUGAGCCACCCUUCAAGAGCACAGCCACUCAUGGCUAAUGGCUGCUGACUGGAACCCUGGAUGGCCCAAUCUAGAACUUUUCAUCACCCCAGAGCAUCCUGGGCAGUGCUUCUCCCGGGGAGCCCUGCAGGCAGUGACCUCCGGCUCUGAGCCUGAUCCCGCAUGAGCAGGAAGAAGACAGCCCAGGGAGGCUGCUCACAGCCGCAAGCUCAUUUCUCAUGGGAAAUCACAAAUGGGAGAUGCCAAGAAAUUAGAAUAGAGGAUGCUCCAGAGCAGACGCUCCUGUUUACAGAGCUGAAACUCAGUACUCAUUAAACAACUCCCUCCUGCAGCCACGCUGGGAGCUGACACUCUCCACACAUGCUUCAUGCACCCAGCCGCUCAUCCAGGGAUCAUCCUGUACCUCAAAUACCCCUAAGAACUGUCAAGCCCCAGGACCUUUGCACAUGCUGGAUGUACUACCUGUGAUGCCCUCUUCUGGCUCACCACGUGGCUGGCUCCGUCUCAUUCAUUGGUCUCAGCC